GCGGGCGUGGCGAAAUUGGCAGACGCAGCAGAUUUAGGUUCUGCCGCCGAGAGGCGUGGGGGUUCAAGUCCCUCCGCCCGCA
rnacentral:tRNA from 1 species